UGAGUAACCUGCCCUUAACUCUGGGAUAAGCCUGGGAAACUGGGUCUAAUACCGGAUAUGACACCUCAUCGCAUGGUGGGGGGUGGAAAGCUUUAUUGUGGUUUUGGAUGGACUCGCGGCCUAUCAGCUUGUUGGUGAGGUAAUGGCUCACCAAGGCGACGACGGGUAGCCGGCCUGAGAGGGUGACCGGCCACACUGGGACUGAGACACGGCCCAGACUCCUACGGGAGGCAG
rnacentral:rRNA from 1 species